rnacentral:rRNA from 1 species
AUUGAACGCUGGCGGCAUGCCUUACACAUGCAAGUCGAACGGUAACAGGCCGCAAGGUGCUGACGAGUGGCGAACGGGUGAGUAACACAUCGGAACGUGCCUGAUAGUGGGGGGAUAACUACUCGAAAGAGUAGCUAAUACCGCAUAAGAUCUCAGGAUGAAAGCAGGGGACCGCAAGGCCUUGCGCUAACAGAGCGGCCGAUGGCAGAUUAGGUAGUUGGUGGGAUAAAAGCUUACCAAGCCGACGAUCUGUAGCUGGUCUGAGAGGACGACCAGCCACACUGGGACUGAGACACGGCCCAGACUCCUACGGGAGGCAGCAGUGGGGAAUUUUGGACAAUGGGCGCAAGCCUGAUCCAGCAAUGCCGCGUGCAGGAUGAAGGCCUUCGGUUGUAACUGCUUUUGUACGGAACGAAAAAGACUCUGGUUAAUACCUGGGCCCGAUGACGGUACCGUAAGAAUAAGCACCGGCUAACUACGUGCCAGCAGCCGCGGU